GGCGGCGUAGCCAAGCGGACUAAGGCGGGGGACUGCAAAUCCCCUAUACACGGGUUCGAAUCCCGUCGCCGCCU
rnacentral:tRNA from 1 species